CGGCGGACGGGUGAGUAAUGCCUAGGAAUCUGCCUGGUAGUGGGGGACAACGUUUCGAAAGGAACGCUAAUACCGCAUACGUCCUACGGGAGAAAGCAGGGGACCUUCGGGCCUUGCGCUAUCAGAUGGGCCUAGGUCGGAUUAGCUAGUUGGUGAGGUAAUGGCUCACCAAGGCGACGAUCCGUAACUGGUCUGAGAGGAUGAUCAGUCACACUGGAACUGAGACACGGUCCAGACUCCUACGGGAGGCAGCAGCC
rnacentral:rRNA from 1 species